GACGAACGCUGGCGGCGUGCCUAAUACAUGCAAGUAGAACGCACAGUUUAUACCGUAGCUUGCUACACCAUAGACUGUGAGUUGCGAACGGGUGAGUAACGCGUAUGUAACCUGCCUGGUAGCGGGGGAUAACUAUUGGAAACGAUAGCUAAUACCGCAUAAUAUUAAUUAUUGCAUGAUAAUUAAUUGAAAGGUGCAAUUGCACCACUACCAGAUGGACCUGCGUUGUAUUAGCUAGUAGGUGAGGUAACGGCUCACCUAGGCGACGAUACAUAGCCGACCUGAGAGGGUGAUCGGCCACACUGGGACUGAGACACGGCCCAGACUCCUACGGGAGGCAGCAGUAGGGAAUCUUCGGCAAUGGACGAAAGUCUGACCGAGCAACGCCGCGUGAGUGAAGAAGGUUUUCGGAUCGUAAAGCUCUGUUGUAAGAGAAGGACGGGUGUGAGAGUGGAAAGUUCACACUGUGACGGUAUCUUACCAGAAAGGGACGGCUAACUACGUG
rnacentral:rRNA from 1 species